rnacentral:rRNA from 1 species
GAUGAACGCUGGCGGCGUGCCUAAUACAUGCAAGUCGAGCGAACAGACGAGGAGCUUGCUCCUCUGACGUUAGCGGCGGACGGGUGAGUAACACGUGGAUAACCUACCUAUAAAACUGGGAUAACUUCGGGAAACCGGAGCUAAUACCGGAUAAUAUAUUGAACCGCAUGGUUCAAUAGUGAAAGACGGUUUUGCUGUCACUUAUAGAUGGAUCCGCGCCGCAUUAGCUAGUUGGUAAGGUAACGGCUUACCAAGGCAAGGAUGCGUAGCCGACCUGGGAGGGGGAUCGGCCACACUGGAAGUGAGACACGGUCCAGACUCCUACGGGAGGCAGCAGUAGGGAAUCUGCCGCAAUGGGCGAAAGCCUGACGGAGCAACGCCGCGUGAGUGAUGAAGGUCUUCGGAUCGUAAAACUCUGUUAUUGGGGAAAAACAAAUGUGUAAGUAACUAUGCACGUCUUGACGGUACCUAAUCAGAAAGCCACGGCUAACUACGUG